GGAGAGGUGCCGGAGUGGCUAAACGGGCCUGCCUCGAAAGCAGUGAGCUGCGCAAGCGGCGCGCGAGUUCAAAUCUCGCCCUCUCCGCCA
rnacentral:tRNA from 1 species